GUCCGCCUCAAUUUCUCUUCAUCCUGACCGAACUUGCAUGCUCUUCAAAGGGAGCUAUUCAGCAGGUCAUUGGUCUAGACUUGUUUGCACGGUCCACAGAGCAGCCUUGAUGUAACCCUUGCUCUCUGCCUGCCGUGGAAAUGCAGACUGCAGGGAACGCUGGGGACGUGGAUUUGAAAAGAAGCCCCGUCCGAUUUUGUCAUUGUGCCUUUUCAUUCAUCGAUCGAAUGCAUAUCGAACCUUCUGUCGGUGCAUGUGAAACAGAUAGCUUAGCCAGCAUUUUUCUUCCUCCGAAAGAGGCAAUUAACAAACAAAUCAAGAAAAUAAAAUGAGAGACACAGGGACGAAGACACUCGCUGUCCAUAUGACGCUGAGACCUCAGCAGAAUGUGAGCAAAUUCAAAGGCGAAGGAAGGAAAGAGAUCAGCCAAGUGAGAAGACAAUGUCAUUGUUGUCAGGACGCAGAAAAUCAAUGCCGUAAAAGCAAAGAGGAAAAAAAAUUAGAUCUGCUCUGGGGAGAGACAAGCACUCACAAUAAAGAACAAUUUUACCGCAGCUCUCUCGGAUAUGAGCAGACAGCAGAAUUAAAUAAAUAAUUUGCUCUUUUACAUAGAAUUUGCAGCUCGAUUCUUCAGAGGGAUUAAUUAAAUCAUUGCCUUGCAGACACUUUGUGGAUUUUAUUUAUAAGGUUUACAAAGCUUUCAAUUCUCUAUAUGUU